rnacentral:lncRNA from 1 species
GAGUGGGGGUGCUAUAUUUAUUGCUUCGGAAAUCGAAUAUGUGAGAAAUAUUUUAUUGGAAACCUUGGUUGAUGAGGUUUCAGAUUUAAGCCCUAUAGACUGGAAAGGAGAAAUUAUUUUUACUAGUCUAUAUCACUACCUUCAUAGUGGAUAGUGUCAUAGAUAAUACUUCCUCCGUCACAGUUUAGAAGGCACAGUUUCAUUUACAUGUAUUUACAGAAUAGAAAAGAAUUAAGACACAUGACAUCUACUGCUUGGCUAGUUCGGAUUACUAGUAAACUGCAUGCAUAGUGGGAAAGGUGGAUGUAUCCAUGCAUGAGGACUCCUUGUUCAGUGCUUGCAUGAGUUACUCUGCAUUAUCUUUCCAAAUAAUUAGGCGUCGAGUGGUUAUU